rnacentral:rRNA from 1 species
GACGAACCGUGCGAACGUUGUUCGGAAUCACUGGGCUUAAAGGGCGCGUAGGCGGGUGUGCAAGUCUGUGGUGAAAGCCUCCAGCUUAACUGGAGAAGUGCCGUGGAUACUGCGCAUCUUGAGGAGGGUAGGGGCAUCUGGAACGGUCGGUGGAGCGGUGAAAUGCGUUGAUAUCGACCGGAACUCCGGUGGCGAAGGCGAGGUGCUGGACCCUUCUGACGCUGAGGCGCGAAAGCCAGGGGAGCAAACGGGG